GGCCUCCUGGUGCUUACCACAGCUGUGUUCUCACACUGUAUAGAAAGAGGAGGCAAAGUAAAUCUACCCCAUAUGCACCUCAGCCCAGGCCGUAUGCCUGGUCUGCAUUGUGAGUGGGGAAACAUGA
rnacentral:snoRNA from 1 species